rnacentral:rRNA from 1 species
GGCGAGCCUGCCUUUUUGGCUGCCGGGGGACGUCAGUCCCCGGGUCCGUGCUCGCCGGAGACACCUUAGAACUCUGUCUGAAGAUUGUAGUCUGAGAUUAAAUAUAAAUUAUUUAAAACUUUCAACAACGGAUCUCUUGGUUCCGGCAUCGAUGAAGAACGCAGCGAAAUGCGAUACGUAAUGUGAAUUGCAGAAUUCAGUGAAUCAUCGAGUCUUUGAACGCACAUUGCGCCCUCUGGUAUUCCGGAGGGCAUGCCUGUCCGAGCGUCAUUGCUGCCCUCAAGCACGGCUUGUGUGUUGGGCCCCGUCCUCCUUCCGGGGGACGGGUCCGAAAGGCAGCGGCGGCACCGCGUCCGGUCCUCAAGCGUAUGGCGCUUUGUCACUCGCUUUGUAGGCCUGGCCGGCGCUUGCCGAUCAACCACACUUUUUAUCAGGUUGACCUCGGAUCAUGUAGGGA